UUGUUGUUCUAAAUAGGGGGCCUUUUUAUUAUGCUCUUCAUUUAUCGUUACUAAGGC
rfam:Echinops telfairi cont1.579409, whole genome shotgun sequence.